rnacentral:rRNA from 1 species
AAGCUCGUAGUUGAAUUUCGGGGUCAGUAGGUUGGUCGUGCCACAGGUAUGAACUGGUCUCACUGAUUCCUCCUUCCGGAUGAACCGUAAUGCCAUUAAUUUGGUGUUGCGGGGAGACUGGACUGUUACUUUGAAAAAAUUAGAGUGUUUAAAGCAGGCUAACGCUUGAAUACAUUAGCAUGGAAUAAUGAAAUAGGACGUUCGGUCUUAUUUUGUUGGUUUCUAAGAUUGACGUAAUGAUUAAUAGGGAUAGUUGGGGGCAUUAGUAUUCGAUUGUCAGAGGUGAAAUUCUUGGAUUUAUUGAAGACUAACUACUGCGAAAGCAUUUGCCAAGGAUGUUUUCAUUAAUCAAGAACGAAAGUUAGGGGAUCGAAGACGAUCAGAUACCGUCGUAGUCUUAACCAUAAACUACGCCGACUAGGGAUCGGAUGAUGUUAAUUUUUUAAUGACUCAUUCGGCGCCUUACGGGAAACCAAAGUGUUUGGGUUCCGGGGGGAGUAUGGUCGCAAGGCUGAAACUUAAAGGAAUUGACGGAAGGGCACCACCAGGGGUGGAGCCUGCGGCUUAAUUUGACUCAACACGGGGAAACUCACCAGGUCCAGACAUAGUAAGGAUUGACAGAUUGAGAGCUCUUUCUUGAUUCUAUGGGUG